rnacentral:lncRNA from 1 species
UCCAUGGUGGACUGUUUUGAUAGGCUAAAGUAAAUCGACCAUAAAUCUUUGCUCCGAUAAUGGAUUUGGGUGAAAUCAAUUGCAUUAGAAAGAAGACUCUCAGGGCUUCUCAUCGAUAUAUAGCAGCUCACACAGUUCAUUUUUUACAAGGAGUUAUGAUCGUUUAAAGUCGACCCAAAAAUCUGUUUGGCUGCAGUACUUUUGUGUGCAGAAAAUUUCUGCACAUUUACUGUUCAUUGCGUCCACCAUUUUCAAGUUUCGAACAUGUUCGCUUAUAUCCGAUACUCAUCUGUUUUCAGAAAUCUUUAUAUCGUUGGAAAGCUAACUCG